CGCUGUAGUUGUUGACAGUGGCGUCGCUAGCGAUGGGGUCGACCCCGUCUCAAUUCCAAUUAAACACUAAAAAAUAUGGUAGCCAGAGAAAGGAUCCGGAUCCAGGUGACAAACGAAUCCGUUUAGUUCUAGAGCUGCCGUGACUCUGCGCUUCGUACCCCUCACAAUUUUGCCUUCGUUCUCGUACGGCUGUGUACCGCGUUCGUUUUAUCGCCGUUUCCACUUUCAAACCUUCAUUCGUAUUCAAUGCUGGUCGUUGCUGCUGCUGCUUUAGCUGCUCGAGCAGUGGCGUCUAUGGGGGUGCACGACGUGACGGACAUCAGGACAAAUGAACACGAUAUUUCAAAAUAUGUACAUACAUACAUAUGUAUGUAUGUAUGUACAUAUGCAUUUUGUGCAUUCACUAAAUUUUAAGGCAAUACUGAAUUGAAAAGCUGAACCAAUAAUCAUGUUUGUAUACUAAUGUACCGGCA